rnacentral:tRNA from 1 species
CAUUAAGUGGCUGAAAGUAAGCAUUGGUCUCUUAAAUCAAACAAUAGUAUGUUAACAAAUACUCUUAAUGA